GUCCACGCCGUAAACGAUGAGAACUAGUUGUUGGGAGGAUUUUGCCUCUCAGUGACGCAGCUAACGCGUUAAGUUCUCCGCCUGGGGAGUACGGCCGCAAGGCUAAAACUCAAAGGAAUUGACGGGGACCCGCACAAGCGGUGGAGCAUGUGGUUUAAUUCGAUGCAACGCGAAGAACCUUACCUGCCCUUGACAUUGACAGAACCCUCUAGAGAUAGAGGGGUGCUUCGGCCUGGAAAACAG
rnacentral:rRNA from 1 species